rnacentral:misc_RNA from 1 species
AAAAUACUGUAACGGAGUGACGUAAAUCCAAAGCGAGACAUACUCUUGGGCAUUUUCGUUUCGCGUUAGACGGACGUGAAACUUUUUUGUUGGAUUCAGACAAUUUAUUUUAAAAAACUCGGAUAAAUGUAUAGUUUGAAUUAAUUUCGGAUUAAAUUUGAAACUGACCUUAUCUUGGUUUCCGGUUUUGUAAAAUAAAGUGCCAAAUUCUGUACCAAUAUGGCCAAAUUACUAUGUUUAUUAGUUAAUGCCUUUGUCUUGAUACAGCUUGCUCGUGCACAGCCUAAAAAGACUGCAUGGGCAGCAGCUAAUGCCGGAAUGGGUUUAGGCACAACGGCGCCACCAGAUCCGACAGAACAUCAAAUCAAUAUGGCUAUUGUUGGAAUUAACAAUGCGAAAACGGAAGCCCAGGCUGCUCAGGCCGCAGCCGCCAUAUACAGUCCGGCUUUGGACUUGUCUGACAACGUAAAACAGGCCCUUGAGAACAAAAUACGCCAGCUUCGCACUCCGGCAGGCUGGCAACACCCAAUACCUCCUCCUUUGCCUUUUGGAUUUGACGUCAUGCACGUGAUUAUGAAUGCCUUCUAUGGAGGUCCAGUUACGGCAUCACCUAUGGCUACGGUUCCAGUAGCUCCCGCGGGAAGGCGCGGACCGAAACGAGGUCCACCAACUUCUAUCCGCCGCGGACCUCCUCCAGGGGCUGCCUACAUGCCAGGUGGCGCUAUGAGCGGUCUUGGCUCAAUGGGUCCAAUGGGUGGUGGUGGGCUUACCGGCGUUUCCAGAUUCAUGGAACCUACCAACUGGGAAGUCGAGUUAGCUGUUCACAAUGUGAAUGCUGCAACAACUGAGGCAGAAGCCGCUAAGGCUGCUGCCGCUGUUUACAGAAUAGGACUCGACGCCCCAGAUGCGGUGGUUAGUGCUUUUGAAGAAAAGGUCGCAAGGCUAAGGAAUCCUAACUGGACCGGAAGAAACCCUCCUCCUCUUCCAAGGACAUUUAGGCCAAUGUCCUUCAUUAUAAGAGCUUGGAAAGAACUACAGACUCUUGCUAAUGCACAAGCAGCUGCUCAAAACGCAGCUGCUGCUAAUGCAGCUAGAGGACCUCCACCAGUGAUGUUAUUUGGAGGAGCUCCUCCUAAACCAGCGCCAGCAAAAACAACUAGAAAACGACCAUCAAUAGCACCUAAAGUCAAGACACCUAAACGCAAAAGCCCUCCGCCUACGCGAGCCCAAGUUGAGAUGCAACUUAGAAUGCAAGAGCAGCAAGCUGCUUCUGGGAAUUCUUAUUUCAAUAACUUCGUUCAACAGAAUAGACGGAAUUCACCUCCGCCGCCAGCUCCUCGGUUUCCAAACUUACCUAACUACAAUAUGAAUUCAGCCCAAAUGUCACGACCUAUUGGACCAAGAUACCAGUUGUCUUCACAUCAAAGAACACCAUCAAACCAACCAAGGUACCAUACAAAUGCUCCUCGUCCAAACACGCAGCAACCAUUUAGAAGACCGAAUCAGUUCAAACCGAUGAAUCGAGUUGACCCGUUUUUAAACGGCGGACCAAGAAAAACAGCGGUACCCCCGGUUCCUCCAACAAGGCAGACGGAUAUGUUUAAGAAUGUUAAUGGAAAAACUACACACAAAUCAUCAGCAACAUCAAAUGCAGGAAUUGUAACAAUUGAAGAAUUGUUUGGAAAACGUACAACAACCACCUCUACUAAGCCACCAGUUCCAUCCGCCAAGCCCAAAACUUCAGCUCCCAGGUAUCACACACCACCUGUCAUACACAAAUCCCCCAAACAGAGGACUAGAUAUCCAGCUGAAAUACUAAAGCCGCCACCAAAAUCAGACGGAAUCCCAAAGCCCCCUUCGGUUAUAACAGCAACUACCAAGAAAAUACCUAGACCAUCAUCAAUAAAACGUCCAGGGUUAAGGGAGCAUGUAAAAUCAUCAGUUCGACCAACACGUGUAGAUAGAUAUGGUCCGACCAAUCCAGUUCCUAGUGCCACGCCUCCGACGCCGAAACAGCGAAAAGCGACGGGUUUUGUCAGGGAUAGCGUUCAGUUGAGAAAAGUACCUAGUCCAACGUUCAAACCAACAGAAAAACGGCCAGCGGUUAGCCCUUCUAAGCUCACCCGCUUACAACAGCGGUAUCCAGGUCUAAAAUACAAAAGAUCGUCAAAACAGCAUAUUACGCAUCUACAGCAGAAGCAAAACCAUCAACAACAGCUUGAUUACUAUGAAGGGACUCAAAAUCCAGCAAGAAUGCCUAUCGAUGAGCCCUUUGCAGAUAUCAAAAGUGCAAGCGCCAUCCCUAGUCCAAGAUACUCAGUAAUUAAUGCUCAGAAUAAACCAAAACCCAAGAGUCUAAGAACAUUUAAAAAGUCCCAUCAAAUCUGGUCACCAUCUGGUAAUCUUGGUUUAGGUAUAAAUAACAUAUUGAAAUCGUCGAUUAUAGUAGACGGUCUAGAAAGUGUUCCCAUACCGACUAAAUCCACCGUACCACCUCCACCUCCUCCAACAACUACAACAACCACAACAACAACCACACCGAAACCAACAACAACAACAACAACAACUUUAGCCCCUACAACAACAACUUUAGCCCCUACAACAACAACUACUACUACAACACAAAAACCUACAACGACCACAACGACCACAACAACUACCAGAUCACCACCUACCACUAGAGUUAAGUCUACAACAACAACUGUAUCAAAGACGAAACCUCCAGCACCGACAGAUGCAUCAGCAACCAAAGCGGGAACCCAGCUUUCAUCACAGGAUAAGCUUAAAGAGUUAGAAAACUUGUUACGUGGAAUUUCCCCUGGGGAACUAGAAAGCCUAGUCAAAUCCGGACAUCUGACAAAUAUUAUCAAAGCUAAGGCUACUGGAGGUCCGGCAGCACCAGUUGAACAAGGUCCACCGCCCCCACAACCUCAACCACGCCAACAACAACCACGCGAACAGCCUCCAGCACCGUAUGAGCCACCAAGACGUCAGCCACCAAGCGGUUACAUUCCCCCACCCCCAGGCUCAGAUAACAUGGGACCAUCCCGGGAAAUGAGAAUGGGCCCACCUCCACCAAACCGAGGACCACAAAGAGGACCACCCCCUCAAGGAUACAGAGGCAAUAAUGGACCACCUAUGGGUAAUAAUCAAGGAGGUCAUGAUAACCAGAUGCCACCAUGGGCAAGAAACGGACCUCAAAUGGGUGGACCACAAAGGGGAGGGCCACCAAUGGGCGGGCCACCAAUGAGAGGACCACCAGGCCGUGGCGGACCAAUGGGACCAGGUGGGCCAAUGGGAAUGGGUCCAGGUGGACAGAGAGGACCAGGAGGCCCAGGUGGCCUCGACCCCAACAAUCCUCAGGUGGCACGACUUAUCAGAGUUAUAUCAAAGAGAAUACCCGACAACCAGAACAAUGCUGGGUCGGGCGGUCAAUCUAGUACGAAGAUGUUGGCUGGUAGAACUGGGGGGUCACGUAACCCAGUCACAGGAGAACAACCGGAACCUGGAGAAGGCGGUGGCAUGAUGAACCCAAUGAUGAUGGCUAUGAUGAUGAAUGGUGGGCAAGGUGGAGCAGGCGGUCCUGACCUUAGUGCACUUCUUGGUGGUAUGGGCGGAAGCGGCGGCGGCGGUAUGGGUGCUUUAGGCAAGUUUAUUUGGCGGUGGAGGAGGAGGAGGAGGCAGCGGCAUGGGUGGUCUUGCUGCACUAGGAGCUCUAGGCGGAGGGUCUGGAGGCAGUGGUGGAAGCAGUCAGUUGGAUAUGCUAACAAAGGCAUUACAGGGCCCGUCGGCACCAUUGAUCCUCUCCGGGGGGUGAGGCAGCUGCGGCCAGUGAAGGCGGCAUGAACCCACUUAUGGCCAUGCUAGCAGGGGGCGGAGGAAGCGGAGGUUCAGGUGGAAACCCACUUACGACAAGCGCGCUCCUUGCGGCAGUAGGUGGAGGUGGUGCGGAACCAUCAGCCUCAAGCGCAUCUCAAGGUAAAAAUACGGCCGCUGCGUCUACUUCUACUUCAAC